GCCCGAGCAGCAAACACGCUGUGAUGCCAGAUCAGAGCUGAUAACACAUCCCUCCCUUCCGCUGUCUUCUGUGAGCGCCCGGACCAGCCUAUUAAGGAAUAAUCUCCCAAGGCCUCGGUGAGGAUCAUCGCCGGCUGCACCACGGCGGAGCAGAGCCUGGCAGGGGCUGGAGACAGAGCGGGGAGCCACAGACAAGCAGAGCAAAUACAGAAGUAACCUCCAGAGAUGUUGUGCAGAUACUUUUGCUUCCUCAGUCUGUGUCUUUUCCUUCCAACCCAGAGGAGGUGCUCCCUGGGUCACGUUCCCGACUUGCGCAGUGGAGACACAACCUCCCUCCCCGGAUUUGAGAACCUCACCAUGGGAUACAACAAAUACCUCAGGCCCUACUUUGGUGG